GACGAACGCUGGCGGCGUGCUUAACACAUGCAAGUCGAACGGAAAGGCCCUGCUUUUGUGGGGUGCUCGAGUGGCGAACGGGUGAGUAACACGUGAGUAACCUGCCCUUGACUUUGGGAUAACUUCAGGAAACUGGGGCUAAUACCGGAUAGGAGCUCCUGCUGCAUGGUGGGGGUUGGAAAGCUUCGGCGGUUGGGGAUGGACUCGCGGCUUAUCAGCUUGUUGGUGGGGUAGUGGCUUACCAAGGCUUUGACGGGUAGCCGGCCUGAGAGGGUGACCGGCCACAUUGGGACUGAGAUACGGCCCAGACUCCUACGGGAGGCAGCAGUGGGGAAUAUUGCACAAUGGGCGGAAGCCUGAUGCAGCAACGCCGCGUGCGGGAUGACGGCCUUCGGGUUGUAAACCGCUUUCGCCUGUGACGAAGCGUGAGUGACGGUAAUGGGUAAAGAAGCACCGGCUAACUACGUGCCAGCAGCCGCGGUGAUACGUAGGGUGCGAGCGUUGUCCGGAUUUAUUGGGCGUAAAGGGCUCGUAGGUGGUUGAUCGCGUCGGAAGUGUAAUCUUGGGGCUUAACCCUGAGCGUGCUUUCGAUACGGGUUGACUUGAGGAAGGUAGGGGAGAAUGGAAUUCCUGGUGGAGCGGUGGAAUGCGCAGAUAUCAGGAGGAACACCAGUGGCGAAGGCGGUUCUCUGGGCCUUUCCUGACGCUGAGGAGCGAAAGCGUGGGGAGCGAACAGGCUUAGAUACCCUGGUAGUCCACGCUGUAAACGGUGGGUACUAGGUGUGGGGUCCAUUCCACGGGUUCCGUGCCGUAGCUAACGCUUUAAGUACCCCGCCUGGGGAGUACGGCCGCAAGGCUAAAACUCAAAGGAAUUGACGGGGCCCCGCACAAGCGGCGGAGCAUGCGGAUUAAUUCGAUGCAACGCGUAGAACCUUACCUGGGUUUGACAUGGAUCGGGAGUGCUCAGAGAUGGGUGUGCCUCUUUUGGGGUCGGUUCACAGGUGGUGCAUGGCUGUCGUCAGCUCGUGUCGUGAGAUGUUGGGUUAAGUCCCGCAACGAGCGCAACCCUUGUUCACUGUUGCCAGCACGUUAUGGUGGGGACUCAGUGGAGACCGCCGGGGUCAACUCGGAGGAAGGUGGGGAUGACGUCAAGUCAUCAUGCCCCUUAUGUCCAGGGCUUCACGCAUGCUACAAUGGCUGGUACAGAGAGUGGCGAGCCUGUGAGGGUGAGCGAAUCUCGGAAAGCCGGUCUCAGUUCGGAUUGGGGUCUGCAACUCGACCUCACGAAGUCGGAGUCGCUAGUAAUCGCAGAUCAGCAACGCUGCGGUGAAUACGUUCCCGGG
rnacentral:rRNA from 1 species